CUGCCAGCGAGGCGAACUGGUGAGGGUGAAGGCCACACGCCAUCCCGAGGCUGCGUAGGCCGCGCGGAGGCGGCCGCCGUGUCGCCGCCCUGGGGACCUGACCCGCAGACCGGGAAGCACCGGACAGACCGAGGAUUUGUGGGUGGAAGGCAGGCAUGGUCAGACCCAUUUCCGUGUCAGGAAAGCAGAGACAGGACGUGUCUCUCUCCACGUCUUUCAGCCAGUAAAAGCAGCCAAGCUGGAGCCCAAAGCUAGGUGUCCUGACUCCCAGCGGGGGCCCCCCUGCACCAACCAUGAGCCGCUUGCUCUGGAAGAAGGUAGCCGGCGCCGCCGUCGGGCCAGGGCCAGUUCCAGCUCUGGGGCGCUGGGUCUCCAGCUCCGGCCCCGGCCCCGGCCCCAGCGACGGGCUGCCGCAGCCGCCGCAGCUGCAGGUGCCAUCCUCCGAGGGCGGGCAGCUACGGCACAACCCAUUGCACAUCCAGAUGCUCUCGAGAGGGCUCCACGAGCAAAUCUUCGGGCACACCGGGGAGGAGCCCAGCGAGGCCGCGGUGCGCCGCAGCGUCGAGCACCUGCAGAAGCACGGGCUCUGGGGGCAGCUGGCCACGCCCUUGCCAGACGUGGAGCUGCGCCUGCCGCCCCUCUAUGGGGGCAGCCUGGACCAGCACUUCUGCCUCCUGGCCCAGAAGCAGAGCCUGCCCUACCUGGAGGCGGCCAACUCGCUAUUGCAGGCCCAGCUGCCCCCCCGGCCCCUGAGCUGGGCCUGGGCGGAGGGCUGGACCCGGUACGGCCCCGAGGGGGAGGCCGUACCCGUGGCCAUCCCCGAGGAGCGGGCCCUGGUGUUCGACGUGGAGGUCUGCUUGGCAGAGGGAACUUGCCCCACAUUGGCGGUGGCCAUAUCCCCCUCGGCCUGGUAUUCCUGGUGCAGCCGGCGGCUGGUGGAAGAGCGUUACUCUUGGACCAGCCAGCUGUCGCCGGCUGACCUCAUCCCUCUAGAGGUCCCCGCCAGCGCUGGCGACCCCACCCAGCGGGAUUGGCAGGAACAGUUAGUGGUGGGGCACAACGUUUGCUUUGACCGCGCCCAUAUCAGGGAACAGUAUCUGAUCCAGGGCUCCCGCAUGCGCUUCUUGGAUACUCUGAGCAUGCACAUGGCCAUCUCGGGGCUCAGCAGCUUCCAGCGCAGUCUGUGGGUGGCAGCCAAGCAGAGCAAGGGCAAGGCCCGGCACCCCACACAGCGAGCCCAGAAGUCCCGGAGCAAAGCCAGCGGCCCAGUGAUCUCAUCCUGGGACUGGCUGGACAUCAGCAGUGUCAAUAAUCUGGCCGACGUGCACAGCCUGUACGUGGGGGGCCCUCCCUUGCGGAAGGAGCCACGAGAACUGUUCCUUAAGGGUAGCAUGAAGGACAUCCGGGGGAACUUCCAGGACCUGAUGCAGUACUGUGCCCAGGACGUGUGGGCCACCUAUGAGGUUUUCCAGCAGCAGCUACCGCUCUUCAUGGAGAGGUGUCCUCACCCGGUGACUCUGGCUGGCAUGCUGGAGAUGGGUGUCUCAUACCUGCCUGUCAACCAGAACUGGGAGCGUUACGUGGCGGAGGCACAGAGCACCUACGAGGAGCUCCAGCGGGAGAUGAAGAAGUCGCUGAUGGAUCUGGCCAAUGAUGCCUGCCAGCUGCUCUCAGGAGAGAGGUACAAAGAAGACCCCUGGCUCUGGGACCUGGAGUGGGACCUGCAAGAGUUUAAGCAGAAGAAGGCAAAGAAGGUGAAGAGGAAGGAGCCAGCCUCAGCCAGCAAAUUGCCCAUCCUGGGGGCUGGGGCCGCUGGGGACCUCGAGGAUCAGGAAGACCCUGGCCCCCCCAGUGAGGAGGAAGAGUUUCAGCAAGAUGCCCAGGCCCACAUCUGCUUGGAGCAGCUGAAGGGGACCACAGAGUUCCUGCCCAAGCGGUCUCAGCACCUUCCUGGACACCCCGGGUGGUACCGGAAGCUCUGUCCUCGGCUAGAUGACCCCGCGUGGACCCCCGGCCCCAGCCUCCUCAGCCUGCAGAUGCGGGUCACACCCAAACUCAUGGCUCUGACCUGGGAUGGCUUCCCUCUGCACUUCUCCGAGAGGCACGGCUGGGGAUACCUGGUACCCGGGCGGCGGGAUAACCUGGCCAAAGUGCCAGCAGGCGCUGCCCUCGCACCGGCUGGGGUGGCCUGUCCCUAUAGAGCCAUCGAGUCCCUGUACAGGAAGCACUGUCUUGAACAGGGGAAGCAGCAGCCCGAGCCCCAGCAGGCAGGCCUGGUGGAGGAGUUCCUGUUGACGGACAGCAGCGCCAUGUGGCAGACGGUGGAAGAACUGGGCUGCUUAGAAGUGGAGACUGAGGCCAGGAUGGAGAACUGGGAAGCAUCAGUUCCAGGUCAACCCCCAGCUUUGACCGCUGCUGGUGGCCCCAAAGCCAGCCAACCAGCCUAUCACCAUGGCAACGGACCUUACAAUGAUGUGGAUGUCCCCGGCUGCUGGUUCUUCAAGCUGCCUCACAAGGAUGGUGGUGGUUGCAAUGUGGGCAGCCCCUUUGCCAAGGACUUCUUGCCCAAGAUGGAGGACGGCACUCUGCAGGCUGGCCCAGGAGGUGCCAGUGGGCCCCGUGCCUUGGAAAUCAACAAAAUGAUUUCUUUCUGGAGGAAUGCCCAUAAGCGUAUCAGCUCCCAGAUGGUGGUGUGGCUGCCCCGAGCAGCUCUGCCCCGUGCUGUGACCAGGCACCCAGACUACGAAGAGGAAGGCCGCUAUGGGGCCAUCUUGCCCCAGGUGGUGACUGCCGGCACCAUCACUCGCCGGGCUGUGGAGCCCACGUGGCUCACUGCCAGCAACGCCCGGCCUGACCGAGUAGGCAGUGAGUUGAAGGCCAUGGUGCAGGCCCCGCCCGGCUACGUGCUCGUGGGCGCGGACGUGGACUCACAGGAGCUGUGGAUCGCAGCUGUGCUCGGAGAUGCCCACUUUGCCGGCAUGCACGGCUGCACAGCCUUUGGGUGGAUGACACUGCAGGGCAGGAAGAGCAGGGGCACCGACCUGCACAGUAGAACGGCCGCCACAGUGGGCAUCAGUCGGGAGCACGCCAAGGUCUUCAACUAUGGCCGCAUCUAUGGGGCCGGGCAGCCCUUUGCUGAGCGCCUGCUGAUGCAGUUCAACCAUCGGCUCACAAGGCAGGAGGCAGCCGAGAAGGCCCAGCAGAUGUAUGCCGUCACCAAGGGCCUCCGCCGGUAUCGGCUCUCGGAUGAGGGUGAGUGGCUGGUGAGAGAGUUGGACCUCCCUGUGCACAGAGCCGAGGAUGGCUGGGUUUCCCUGCAGGAUCUCCGCAAGAUCCAGAGAGAAGCCUCAAGGAAGUCGCACUGGAAGAAGUGGGAGGUGGUCGCUGAAAGAGCGUGGAGCGGGGGCACAGAGUCAGGGAUGUUCAACAAGCUGGAGAGCAUCGCCACGGCGGACGCCCCGUGUACGCCGGUGCUGGGGUGCCGCAUCAGCCGAGCCCUGGAGCCCUCAGCUGUCCGGGGAGAGUUCAUGACCAGCCGCGUGAACUGGGUGGUCCAGAGCUCUGCUGUGGACUACCUACACCUCAUGCUUGUGGCCAUGAGGUGGCUGUUUGAGGAGUUCGCCAUUGAAGGGCGCUUCUGCAUCAGCAUCCACGAUGAGGUCCGCUACCUGGUGCGGGAGGAGGACCGCUACCGUGCCGCCCUGGCCCUGCAGAUCACCAACCUCCUAACCAGGUCUCUUUCAGGUGCAUGUUCGCCUACAAGCUGGGCCUGCGUGACUUGCCCCAGUCGGUCGCCUUUUUCAGUGCAGUCGAUAUUGACCAGUGCCUCAGGAAGGAAGUGACCAUGGAUUGUAAAACCCCUUCCAACCCAACAGGGAUGGAAAGAAGAUACGGGAUUCCCCAGGGUGAAGCGCUGGAUAUUUACCAGAUAAUUGAACUCACCAAAGGCUCCCUGGAAAAACGAAGCCAGCCUGGACCAUAGCUCUACCUGGUGGCUCCGUAUUUGCUCCUGUGGAGCUUCACUGGGGCAGUACAGGCUCCCAAACUCAGGCAUUCAGCUGUGCUUUUUGCAAAAGGGCUUGCCCUGGGCCAGCCGUAUUUAAGUAGCAGGUGCCAAGAACAAUUGCCUCUAACUGAAGGUGCAGUUGAACAGAUUCAGAACCAAGAUGCCACCAUGGGUGCAGGCGGUGGAACAAGGAUGCAUUGUUGCUUACUGGGUAGAAAGCAGAAGCCCCAAAGUCCACAUUAACUCAGGCAUUUCGUUUCUUCUUUCCUUUUCUUCCUGGCUGGCUCCUUGUUCUGUGCCCCGGGGGGCGACGCAGUGCCCUAGAGGGAAGACAAUGCUGUUAUGUGUGAUAAACCUGUUGGAAGCAGUGGAAAUAAAAACCCGAACCCUCUA